UAAAGAGAGAAGCCUUCGUUGCAGCCCAUGAACAAUCUGAGAGGUUUAAUGGACGGAAUGAGGCAAUGGUGUUCUGUGUCUGCCAACUGGCGAAUGUGGUCCCCAGCUAGCUUAUUAGGAGCACAGUGGCCUGAUGGGGCACUGGCCGGUCCUGCUCUCGCUGAUGCACACAUGUGUCUGAAUCAUCAAGUUCAUUUCCCGGAACUCCACUUGAUGCAUUGUUUAAACAAGGAUCCGGGCAGUAGAUUCGUGAGAUGCCUCGGAAUAGCUUCGCACGAAUGAGAUUUCAAAUCUGGAGCCACUGAUUCUGGAGGACAGAUGACUGGGGAGGCAAGAGGGGUUUUCCCCCAAAUAUUGGCACCACUGUCUUGAGGGAGAACAGCUUGUCCCUGAGUUCCCAGUCCUUGAUCUUGGGCUAAAAGUGGCUUUCUGAGUCCUGAAGCCUGGAGUCUUGGCCUUAGUCACUCUGCCUGCUUCUACCUCUCACGUGGUCCCUCCUUCCACUGUGGAACUUUUCAGAAGCCAUAAUCAACUGAAGAUGUUCCUGUCACUGGUCCUCAAGCGUGUGGGGACUUCCUUAAGCCAUCAUGUGGAGAGGCCACCCAGUGCAGCAGAAGGAGGCACACAGAAAACAUGCCCUCGGUCGUGUGAAUUCGGUUCUUCAUCCUGCCACAAAAUGGCUGUGUGUGCCGGCAAGUCUGAUGUCAACUUGACACAAGCUAUACUCACAGGAAAGGAGGCUCUAAAGCAGACACGCCUGUGAGGCAUUUUCUUCAUUAGUGAUUGAUGGAGGAGGGCCUAGCCUGUUGUGAGUGGUGCCAUCCCUGGGCUGCUUCCCCGGGCUGCUAUAACACAGCAAGCUAGGAAGAGCAAGCCAGUAAGCAGCACCUCUCCAUGGCCUCUGUAUCAGCCCCUGUCUCCAGAUUCCUGCCUUGCCUGUGUUUAUUUCUUAGCUUUCUUUGAUGAACAGUGAUGUUGAAGCAUAAGUCAAAUAAAUCU